UGGGGAAUAUUGCACAAUGGGCGCAAGCCUGAUGCAGCCAUGCCGCGUGUAUGAAGAAGGCCUUCGGGUUGUAAAGUACUUUCAGCGGGGAGGAAGGUGUUGAGGUUAAUAACCUCAGCAAUUGACGUUACCCGCAGAAGAAGCACCGGCUAACUCCGUGCCAGCAGCCGCGGUAAUACGGAGGGUGCAAGCGUUAAUCGGAAUUACUGGGCGUAAAGCGCACGCAGGCGGUCUGUCCAGUCGGAUGUGAAAUCCCCGGGCUCAACCUGGGAACUGCAUUCGAAACUGGCAGGCUAGAGUCUUGUAGAGGGGGGUAGAAUUCCAGGUGUAGCGGUGAAAUGCGUAGAGAUCUGGAGGAAUACCGGUGGCGAAGGCGGCCCCCUGGACAAAGACUGACGCUCAGGUGCGAAAGCGUGGGGAGCAAACA
rnacentral:rRNA from 1 species